rnacentral:rRNA from 1 species
CGGGGGGCAGCAGUGGGGAAUAUUGGACAAUGGGCGCAAGCCUGAUCCAGCCAUGCCGCGUGAGUGAUGAAGGCCCUAGGGUUGUAAAGCUCUUUUGUGCGGGAAGAUAAUGACGGUACCGCAAGAAUAAGCCCCGGCUAACUUCGUGCCAGCAGCCGCGGUAAUACGAAGGGGGCUAGCGUUGCUCGGAAUCACUGGGCGUAAAGGGUGCGUAGGCGGGUCUUUAAGUCAGGGGUGAAAUCCUGGAGCUCAACUCCAGAACUGCCUUUGAUACUGAAGAUCUUGAGUUCGGGAGAGGUGAGUGGAACUGCGAGUGUAGAGGUGAAAUUCGUAGAUAUUCGCAAGAACACCAGUGGCGAAGGCGGCUCACUGGCCCGAUACUGACGCUGAGGCACGAAAGCGUGGGGAGCAAACAGGAUUAGAUACCCGUGUAGUC